ACAGACUUCUAUUUUAUUAUUAUUUUUUUCUAAUACCCUUUCUUUCUCUUAUUUUUCAAGGUGUUUAUGAGGAAAGAAUAAGGUUGAACGAUGUACUCUUGAAAACCAUUGUUAAGGACAAAGUCUCCACCAAAUGCAACCUCCACCAAUAUAUGGUACCGUGUGGAUGGUGGUUUCUGUUUUCUUGGAGGAGAAGGAAAUUAAGAAAGAGUUUGUUGGUUAUGGAGGCCAGUUCUUUUAAGGGUUUUGAAUGAGGAUGAGGAUGAGGGAAUGUGGAGGUUGUGAAUUGCUAGUUUAUUGCAAAAUUCACGUGUUGUUUCAAAAUAAUUAAAAAGGGAGCGGACAAAAAUAUAGUUGGCUACAACUGCGUAAUUAAGUUAAUUUAUAUCCGAUUCCAGCCCUUCAAAUAUAAUAUUGAAUUUUCUAUA